AGCGAAGGCCUCUCCUCCUUUUUUCUUAUAGUCUGGCUGACGUAAAAAUCGUAGGGAAUACCGGGUAAAUCUGGGCCCUUCCUUGGUUACAAACUGGUCACCAAGGAAGGCCUAGACCAAACCACCACAACACUGAAGAGCAGUGGCCCUAAAACUGAGCUCUGGGGAACCCCACUGAUGGCUGGCCACCAGCCUGGUGUAACAGCCUUUACUACAACCCUCUGGACCAGACCCAUCCACCAGUUGUUCACCCACCACACUGUGGACUUGUCCAUCUCUGUGCUGGACAUUUUAUCCAGAAGGAUACUGUGAGAGACAGUACCAAAAGCUUUGCUAAAAUCCCAAACCACCACAUGUACCAGCUUCCCUUGGCCAGCUAGAUGGGUGAUCUAGUCAUAAAAGGAAGCUAUCCAUGACUACAGGAUAUCAGUGGGCCCAUAAGCUGACAUUCAAUUGACAAAAACAUCCAAGUUUUUAUGGCACCUACCUCAAAGAAAGCUCUGCCGUAGCAAAAGAAAAGAAGAUUACUUGUGUUUUGUGAUGUGACUGGGUAUUUUCUAGUUUGCAUUUCAAAAUAGGUAAAUAAGUCCCAGAGCAGUCAGAUGAGGAAGAAAGAUGGGUUUAUAGGUUGGCCUAACCUUCUCACAUACAUCCUACACUGGCAGUUAUUAAACAGAGUUCUGCAAACCCCUUAUCCCUUCUCAGAAAAUACACACCUGACCAAAAUCUAGGAAUGCUGGAUCAGGCUGUGGACCAUCAGUACCAUGGAAGGAACAAGCAUUUAGUGAAUGACUCCAUGGUAUAUUUACAACACGUAAUUCAAGAGCAACUCCACUAAGGAAAUGAUGACCUCUCUCGUCAGAUUUCCUUGAAAUAAGGUUAAUAUAGUAUCUAAAAUAAGAAAUAAAUUUCUUUUGGAAAAAG